rnacentral:rRNA from 1 species
AUGAGUUCUCAUCUUCAACACUUAAGAUUGCUAUACCAUCGUGCUGCCAACACCCUCAUCCUGCGAAUUGCCAUUGCAACUACACUCGCUGGUGCCGUUCUCACAAAGGUUACACAAGGGGUUGUCUCUGCACACCAGAUUGUGCCUCAAUCCAGUGCUAUCUGUCCCAUCCACCUAUUCCUCGUCGUCGUUCUUUUCAUCGUCACAGCAACAUUCUACCUUGCACUCCGUCCUAGAACUGUAUACCUCGUUGACUAUGCUUGCUUUGUGGCAAGCUCCAAGUUUAGAUACCCAAAGGCAACCUUGCUUGAGCAUGCACAUCUCUCGCCUUUGCUAGAUGAUUCUACUACCAACUUCAUAGCUACUAUUCUGGAGCGCUCAGGCAUGAGCGACCAGACAUAUGUACCACCUAUACUUUCCUAUAUAGAGCCAUAUUGUGGGCUUGAUGAAGCACGCGCGGAAGCAGAGUUGAUCAUGUUCCCGGUCAUUGAUGAACUUUUUGCCAAGACAUGCAUCAACCGUGAUGCGAUCCGUGUUCUUAUCACUAACAGCAGUGGGUUUAGCCCAGUACCAUCCAACGCUGACAUGAUUGUGAACAGAUACAAGUUGCGAAGUGAUAUCCGCCUCAUGAACCUUUCAGGGAUGGCGUGUACUGCGUCAGUGACUGCGGUGGGAAUUGCGAGCAACAUGCUGCAGGUCAUACCUUGGGGGUCAUACGCAUUGGUGGUAUCUACGGAGAUCAUUGGACCAUUAUACUAUGCAGGAAAUAUGCGUUCCAUGCAGUUGUCUAACAUAUUGUUUCGUAUGGGCAGUGCCGCCAAGCUCUUGUCGACUUCUAGGUCCAAGGCUCGAUUUCGGCUUGAGCAUUUGGCCCGGACGAUCACUGCAGCAAAUGAUGCUGCCUACCGGUGUGUUUAUCAAGAGGAAGAUGAGAAGGGAAACUUUGGGACUGCUCUCUCUAAAGACCUUAUGGGUGUCGCUGGAGAUGCACUGAAAGCAAAUAUCACGGUAACCGGACCUCUUGUCCUACCGGGGUCAGAGCUUCUCAGAGUUUUGCUCUAUCGCAUGGCAAAAAAGGUGAUCGGCUCAAGGAGGGCGAGACAAUCCAUCCCCAACUUUUGUCUUGCAUUUGAGCAUUUCUGCAUCCAUGUUGGUGGACCAGCGGUUAUCACCUCAGUACAACAUGGACUCAAUCUAUCAGAUAAGAACGUUGAGGCAUCGCGAAUGACGCUACAUCGAUUUGGAAACCAGUUGAGUGCAUCGGUGUGGUAUGAGUUGGCAUACAUCGAAGCUAAAGGCCAGAUGAAGAAAGGCAAUAGGGUGUGGAUGAUUGGGUUUGGUGCAGGGUACGAAUGCAACACUAUUGGGUGGAUGUGUAUACAACCAUCUUCUGGUGCACAUGGACCCUGGGCUAGCUGCAUCCAUCGUUACCCAGUGGAUGUCUCCAACAAAGUUUAA